rnacentral:rRNA from 1 species
AUGAUGAUCAGUGGAACGAUGGUGGACAGGUGGUUGCGGUCGGCGGUGCAGGACAUGAAAGAAAAUAACCUGAACGAGGUUUUAUGUCCGUGUCGAAAAUGCAAAGGGAUAGUUUGGCUCAACCCCUAUGACGAAGGUCGUGUCGAAGCGCACCUGCUCAUGACUGGUUUCAUGGAUGGCUAUACUCGGUGGAUAAUUGAAGAUGAGGAUGAUGAUGUUGAGGACGCCGAAGGGGCAGGCAAUGAUGACACGGGGCAAGACGAAGAGAUGAUCGAUAAUGGCGGCGGGGAAGAGGCCGGAUAUGGCGGCGAAGAAGGGGCCGGACAUGGCGGCGGAGAAGGGGCCGGACAUGGCGGCGGAGAAGGGGCCGGACAUGGCGGCGGAGAGAACGUGGACUCCACGCCGCAAAGUUCGUCGGUACUAAGUUCAAUCGUGCGGGACCCUCAUGUUCAAGCACUGCUUCGCAAGGAGACGAGUACUGAGAGAGCUGCUUCUAGAGAGGAGGCUAAGCUACAGCAACUGGUGGUAGACUCGAACACUCCAUUGUAUGAUGGUUGCAAUCCUAAGGUGACCCGCUUGAGUUUCACGCUCCAACUCCUGAAGACGAAGGCUAGAAACAAAUGGAGCGACACUAGCCUCGAUGAGCAUCUCAAGUACCUAAAGGAUGUUCUUCCCGCUGGGAAUCUAUGUCCUACUAGUGUGGAUGAGGCCAAGAAGAUCGUGUGCCCUCUUGAUCUGCCGCACGUUAGAUACCAUGCAUGCAUCAACGAUUGCAUAAUUUAUCGGAAGGAGCACGCGAAAAAACAAGCUGUCCGGUGUGCAAUGCUUCUCGAUACUUACCGAUCACUCCCUGUCUCCAGCGGUAUUUCGUAG